rnacentral:rRNA from 2 species
CCUGUGUGACUGCGUACCUUUUGUAUAAUGGGUCAGCGACUUAUAUUCUGUAGCAAGGUUAACCGUAUAGGGGAGCCGUAGGGAAACCGAGUCUUAACCGGGCGUUAAGUUGCAGGGUAUAGACCCGAAACCCGGUGAUCUAGCCAUGGGCAGGUUGAAGGUUGGGUAACACUAACUGGAGGACCGAACCGACUAAUGUUGAAAAAUUAGCGGAUGACCUGUGGCUGGGGGUGAAAGGCCAAUCAAACCGGGAGAUAGCUGGUUCUCCCCGAAAGCUAUUUAGGUAGCGCCUCGUGAAUUCAUCUCCGGGGGUAGAGCACUGUUUCGGCUAGGGGGCCAUCCCGGCUUACCAACCCGAUGCAAACUGCGAAUACCGGAGAAUGUUAUCACGGGAGACACACGGCGGGUGCUAACGUCCGUCGUGAAGAGGGAAACAACCCAGACCGCCAGCUAAGGUCCCAAAGUCAUGGUUAAGUGGGAAACGAUGUGGGAAGGCCCAGACAGCCAGGAUGUUGGCUUAGAAGCAGCCAUCAUUUAAAGAAAGCGUAAUAGCUCACUGGUCGAGUCGGCCUGCGCGGAAGAUGUAACGGGGCUAAACCAU